AACGAACGCUGGCGGCAUGCCUAACACAUGCAAGUCGAACGAGACCUUCGGGUCUAGUGUCGCACGGGUUCGUAACGCGUGGGAACCUGCCCUUAGGUUCGGAAUAACUCCCCGAAAGGGGUGCUAAUACCGGAUAAUGUCUUCGGACCAAAGAUUUAUCGCCUUUGGAUGGUCCCGCGUUGGAUUAGCUAGUUGGUAGGGUAAAAGCCUACCAAGGCGACGAUCCAUAGCUGGUCUGAGAGGAUGAUCAGCCACACUGGGACUGAGACACGGCCCAGACUCCUACGGGAGGCAGCAGUGGGGAAUAUUGGACAAUGGGCGAAAGCCUGAUCCAGCAAUGCCGCGUGAGUGAUGAAGGCCUUAGGGUUGUAAAGCUCUUUUACCCGGGAUGAUAAUGACAGUACCGGGAGAAUAAGCUCCGGCUAACUCCGUG
rnacentral:rRNA from 1 species